rnacentral:rRNA from 1 species
UACGAAGGGUGCUAGCGUUGUUCGGAAUCACUGGGCGUAAAGCGCGCGUAGGCGGCUUCGCAAGUCAGGGGUGAAAUCCCAAGGCUCAACCUUGGAAUUGCCUUUGAAACUGCGAAGCUGGAGUGUCGGAGGGGAUGGCGGAAUUGCUAAUGUAGAGGUGAAAUUCGUAGAUAUUAGCAGGAACACCGGUGGCGAAGGCGGCCAUCUGGACGACAACUGACGCUGAGGCGCAAAAGUGUGGGGAUCAAACAGG